UCCGUAGGAGCAGGAAGCUGGCAAGUUCUCAAAAUUGUGGUUUUCCAGCAUCACAGACUCAGGGCUUACAAAAUAAAAACAUUUUAACUGCAGCAACUCUUAGGUUACAGUCAGCAAGAUCAGGAAUGUGGAGACAUGGAUGAUUUAAAAGGUAAGAAGAUCUCCAUCCUCUAGUUCACAGCUGGAACACUAAAGCACGGUCAGACUAAUGAACUAAGGAGUAGCCCAUACCCAACUCUCCCAUGACAUUUUGCUUCCAGUUUUAAUGAAGAAAUCAUCAGUGGCCAGCAAGAUUGCAGUGGUGUGCAGUGUUUGCCACCAAGAUCCACUGCUACUCCAUGGAAGGAGUGUCACACAGCCAGAAUCUAGAGGUGGAGAUGGAGAGGGAGCUGGCAAUGGGGCACUCCAGACAAAUAUAUCAGAAGGACACCAAAUACCUGCAUGUGAGGAAUAGCACAAGAAUAAUUGACAAUCUCUCCUUUCACCAAGACAAACCAGAUCUGGUCUGAGAAAAUAAUUACCAAUCUUGAAUUUAUCUUUCAACAUUUGAAAAUAUCACAAUUUUUGCCUAAUAUAUUUCUGGUGUUGAAGCUGCUGCUGCACCAGUAUUUCAUACUGCCCUGAGGCCCUGAUUUUUGAGCGGGGGACUUUAUGGCAUUUUUGCUGGUGUGACUUUGCUGGAUGGUGCAGCAAAAAGCCUGGUUGCAAAUGUAAAAUGGGAUUACUGACACAUUUCUGAUGGAGAUACAGAAAGUCUAUGGAAAUCUCAAUGGAACCACCAAGUAUUGCCAUAGAGUCAUAGAGUUGUACAGCACGGAAACAGAUCCUUCGGUCCCACUCGUCCAUGCCGACCAGAUAUCCUAAAUUAAUCUAGUCCAAUUUGCCAGUGUUUGGCCCAUAUCUCUCUAAACCCUUCCUAUUCAUGUACCCAUCCAGAUACCUCUUAAAUGAUGUAAUUGUACCAGUCUCCACCACUUCCUCUGGCAGCUCAUUCCAUACACGCACCACCCUCUGCAUGAAGAAUUUGCCCCUUAAGUCCUUUUUAAAUCUUUCCCCUUUGACCUUAAACCUAUGCCCUCUAGUUUUGGACUCCCCUACUCUGGGAAAAAGACCUUGGCUAUUCACCCUUUUCACACCCCUCAUUAUUUUAUAAAUCUCUAUAAGGUCACCCCUCCGAAGCUCCAGGGGGAAAAAACCCAGCUUAUUCAGCCUCUCCCUAUAGCUCAAACCCUCCAACCCUAUUUUGUUAAAAGUGCUUUAAGAUUAAAAUGUUCUGAAGCUUAAGUGUCAAUAAAGAAAGCUCUCUGUAGUGCUGCAAUUUUUAAUAUAUAAACAGAUAAAUAAAGAUGACAAUAAAGAAACAAAAUCUAUUAUUUUA